CAGCACUGGACAACCCUAUCACCCCGCCACUCCUUCCAGAUGUCAUAACGCAGGACCACAGCAGUCUUUGCCACCCGGACCUGCAGGCCCUUCACCUCACGGCAUGGCUCCUGCAUGGCUGAACAGAUCGGAGUUCUGCUGU